rnacentral:rRNA from 1 species
UACGGGGGGGGCAAGCGUUGUUCGGAAUUACUGGGCGUAAAGGGCUCGUAGGCGGCCAACUAAGUCAUACGUGAAAUCCCUCGGCUUAACCGGGGAACUGCGUCUGAUACUGGAUGGCUUGAGUUCGGGAGAGGGAUGCGGAAUUCCAGGUGUAGCGGUGAAAUGCGUAGAUAUCUGGAGGAACACCCGUGGCGAAAGCGGCUCUCUGGAACGGUACUGACGCUGAGACGCGAAAGCGUGGGGAGCGAACAGG